rnacentral:rRNA from 1 species
UACAGAGGGGGCAAGCGUUGUUCGGAAUUACUGGGCGUAAAGGGCGCGUAGGCGGCCUUCUAAGUCGAACGUGAAAUCCCCGGGCUCAACCCGGGAACUGCGUCCGAUACUGGAAGGCUUGAAUUCGGGAGAGGGAUGCGGAAUUCCAGGUGUAGCGGUGAAAUGCGUAGAUAUCUGGAGGAACACCGGUGGCGAAGGCGGCAUCCUGGACCGGCAUUGACGCUGAGGAGCGAAAGCGUGGGGAGCGAACAGGA